UACGUAGGGGGCAAGCGUUAUCCGGAUUUACUGGGUGUAAAGGGAGCGUAGACGGCAGAGCAAGUCCGGAGUGAAAGCCCGGGGCCCAACCCCGGGACUGCUCUGGAAACUGUUAAGCUGGAGUGCCGGAGAGGUAAGUGGAAUUCCUAGUGUAGCGGUGAAAUGCGUAGAUAUUAGGAGGAACACCAGAGGCGAAGGCGGCUAACUGGACUGUAACUGACGCUGAGGCACGAAAGCGUGGGUAUCGAACAGG
rnacentral:rRNA from 1 species